UAGCAGCUGACUAAGGGGCAGAGAUAAAAAGGCAGGCGUUCAUUCAAGCUAAGCCAGAAUUAGCUCAUGUCAUACAAGAAAGGCUGCGAGAAAGUGAUAUGACAGUACCUAGCUCUAAAUUCUAGUUUUGUCACUAGUUUAUCUUGAACACACGGUUCCUGAAGUCUGAGUAUGGGACGUUUCAUUCAAUAUACAGCACCUGUCAGGCAUUCGUUCGCUUUGGAUGGAUUUUUCACCUGCAUUUGGUGUGAAUAUUUCAGUAUCUGUCUGUGGGGGCUUCAUUAGGGUGACAUGCUGGAUACUGGAGAGGACGAGAUUAACAUUGCAGUGAAGGCAAAUUUUCCUUUCAAACCACCCGUCCAUCUAUUCUCACACCGGGCAUCGGAAACGCAUACACAUACAACAUCUGGAGUCGACUAGUUAAACCUCAUAAUGGGCAAGGACAGCCCAAUGGCAGUGGGAUGCAGCCAACAAGGGACUUGCUUUUUCCAUUGUGCUUUUAAUUAAACCCAUAUCCCAUUCGUAUCUGUCGUGAUAUCCUUGGCUGGAAACAAUUACAAGGGAAAUAUUUGAUUGUGGUCACACUCCACGUACAUAUUUUGCAUUAUGCAGUGCAUGAACACGAUCCGACUUCUGAGCUCUGUGUCUUUUUCUUAAUCAGCAUUGUCAUUGCAUCUCAUUACCAACAGAAUAGCAUUUCCGAUGGUGGCUUAUAGAGGCUGAUUCCCAUAAUCAAACAGCUUGGCAAUCAAACAGUCCCUAAAUUAAUGUUACCAUUUCAGCUCCACUGCUUUAAUGCAUUGAUACUAGAAUUAAUCAUAUUUUGCUCUGUCUCACUGUUCUAAUUUAUGCACUAUUGAAAUAGAAUGCAAUUAUUGACCAUUUAAUCACUGAUACACUGCAGAGUUUGUGUUUUAAGACUAGAUAUGGUCAGAGAGUAUAUGGGACCCUGGAUCACAAAACCAAUCUGAAGUCGUUGGGGUAUAUUUGUAGCAAUAGCCAAAAAAAAAAAAAAAAAAACACAUUAUAUGGGUCAAAAUUAUAGAUUUUUCUUUUAUGCCAAAAAUCAUUAGGAAAUUAAGUAAAGAUCAUGUUCCUUGAAGGUAUUUUGUAAAUUUCCUACUGUAAAUAAAUCAAAACUUAAUUUUUGAUUAGUAAUAUGCAUUGCUAAGAACUUCAUUUGGAAAACUUUAAAGGCGAUUUUCUCAGUGUUUAGAUUUUUUGCACCCUCAGAUUCCAGAUUUUCAAAUAGUUGUAUCUCGGCCAAAUAUUGUCUUAUCCUAACAAACCAUACAUUUCAGAUGAUGUAUAAAUCUCAAUUCCGAAAAAUUGAUCCCUAUGACUGGUUUUGUGGUCCAGGGUCACAUAUGUUAGAAAAUGAUCAUUCAGAGUAUUUCAUUUAUUUAUUUAUAUGUGUGCACUAGGGGUCAACAGUUUGGAAUAAUUAUGAUGUUUUAAAAUGAUGUAUCUUAUGUGCAACAAGGCUAAAUUUAUUUGAUCAAAAAUACAGUCAAAUAAAUAUUUACAAAUUAAAACUAUAUUUUAAAAUGCUAAAAAUAAAAAACUGAGCACCAAAUCAAAAUCACAGAAAUAAAUUACAUUUUAAAAUAUAUUAAAAUCGAAAACAUCUAUUUUAAAUUGUAAUAAUAUUUCAAAAUAUUUGUAAUAAAUUUGGCUAGCAUAACAUAUAUAUAUUCCAGCAUAUAUAUGUGUGUGUGUGAGGAGUGACAAAGCAAUUAAUUUUUUUUGGUCAGGCUGGUA
ensembl:lncRNA